UACGGAGGGUGCAAGCGUUAUCCGGAUUCACUGGGUUUAAAGGGUGCGUAGGCGGGCAGGUAAGUCAGUGGUGAAAUCUCCGGGCUUAACUCGGAAACUGCCAUUGAUACUAUCUUUCUUGAAUACCGUGGAGGUCAGCGGAAUAUGUCAUGUAGCGGUGAAAUGCUUAGAUAUGACAUAGAACACCAAUUGCGAAGGCAGCUGGCUACACGAAUAUUGACACUGAUGCACGAAAGCGUGGGGAUCAAACAGG
rnacentral:rRNA from 1 species